AUUGAACGCUGGCGGCGUGCCUAAUACAUGCAAGUCGAACGAGGUGCCUUUGUAGCAAUACGAAGGUAUCCUAGUGGCGAACGGGUGAGUAACGCGUUGGUGACCUACCCCAAAGUGUGGGAUAACAGAUCGAAAGAAUCUGCUAAUACCGCAUGUGGUCUUCGGAUUUAGAAACUGAUGACUAAAGGAGCAAUUCGCUUUGGGAGGGACCUGCGUCCCAUCAGCUAGUUGGUGAGGUAAUGGCUCACCAAGGCUACGACGGGUAGGGGACCGUGAGAGGGUGGCCCCCCACCAAUGGAACUGAAACAACGGUCC
rnacentral:rRNA from 1 species